UGACUUAGACUCCCUUUGUUCUUUUUGGUC
rnacentral:piRNA from 1 species